rnacentral:tRNA from 1 species
GUGGUUGUAGUUUAGUGGUGAGAAUUUCGGAUUAUGGUCGUGGAGACCUAGGCUUGAAUCCGAGCAUCCACA